GACGAACGCUGGCGGCGUGCUUAACACAUGCAAGUCGAGCGGUAAGGCCCUUUCGGGGUACGACGAGCGGCGAACGGGUGAGUAACACGUGGGUGACCUGCCCUCAGCUCUGGGAGUAANCCUGGGAAACCGGGUCUAAUACUGGAUAUGACUCCAUGACGCAUUGUUGUGGGGUGGAAAGCCUUGUGCGGCUGAGGAUGGG
rnacentral:rRNA from 1 species